GGGACUGUUUGCGUGGGACGGCAUGAAUGAAUGUCCCCUCUGGGGAGCUUCUCCGGCGGAUCUCCUCAAAGAGGCCAGAAGGAAGCCGAACAAGAAGCUGAGCAAACAAACAGGAGCUCUGGUUCCUCUUUCGUCUCCUCGUCUUGGUUUUGUUCUCUAAACCGGCGAGUGAGGAAUGCGUUUCCCUCCAGCUGGAGACGCCAGGACGCCCGUUCCCCAGGCAGCAGGAGAACACAGUUCAACGCUGAACACGUUUUAACUCAAUUUGUUGAAGCUGAAGCUGAACUGAGCGGUGAAAAGAUGAGCAGCCGGUUGGAGUGAAAUAUUUCCUAAUGGACCAGAAAUGACCACCGAGACGUCAAAAGGGUGAAACACCAGCCGUGUCCCAGGAAACCGUCUGAUCGGUUCCACACAUGAGAACGUUAAACGCCACUGAAGCGUGAAGACAACAUCCGCUGGUUAUUACAAUGAUAAUAUAUCAGAAAUAGAG
ensembl:lncRNA